UUAAGCGACUAAGCGUACACGGUGGAUGCCCUGGCAGUCAGAGGCGAUGAAGGACGUGCUAAUCUGCGAUAAGCGUCGGUGAGGUGAUAUGAACCGUUAUAACCGGCGAUUUCCGAAUGGGGAAACCCAGUGUGAUUCGUCACACUAUCAUUAACUGAAUCCAUAGGUUAAUGAGGCGAACCGGGGGAACUGAAACAUCUAAGUACCCCGAGGAAAAGAAAUCAACCGAGAUUCCCCCAGUAGCGGCGAGCGAACGGGGAGCAGCCCAGAGCCUGAAUCAGUGUGUGUGUUAGUGGAAGCGUCUGGAAAGGCGCGCGAUACAGGGUGACAGCCCCGUACACAAAAAUGCACAUGCUGUGAGCUCGAUGAGUAGGGCGGGACACGUGGUAUCCUGUCUGAAUAUGGGGGGACCAUCCUCCAAGGCUAAAUACUCCUGACUGACCGAUAGUGAACCAGUACCGUGAGGGAAAGGCGAAAAGAACCCCGGCGAGGGGAGUGAAAAAGAACCUGAAACCGUGUACGUACAAGCAGUGGGAGCCUCUUUAUGGGGUGACUGCGUACCUUUUGUAUAAUGGGUCAGCGACUUAUAUUCUGUAGCAAGGUUAACCGAAUAGGGGAGCCGAAGGGAAACCGAGUCUUAACUGGGCGUUAAGUUGCAGGGUAUAGACCCGAAACCCGGUGAUCUAGCCAUGGGCAGGUUGAAGGUUGGGUAACACUAACUGGAGGACCGAACCGACUAAUGUUGAAAAAUUAGCGGAUGACUUGUGGCUGGGGGUGAAAGGCCAAUCAAACCGGGAGAUAGCUGGUUCUCCCCGAAAGCUAUUUAGGUAGCGCCUCGUGAAUUCAUCUCCGGGGGUAGAGCACUGUUUCGGCAAGGGGGUCAUCCCGACUUACCAACCCGAUGCAAACUGCGAAUACCGGAGAAUGUUAUCACGGGAGACACACGGCGGGUGCUAACGUCCGUCGUGAAGAGGGAAACAACCCAGACCGCCAGCUAAGGUCCCAAAGUCAUGGUUAAGUGGGAAACGAUGUGGGAAGGCCCAGACAGCCAGGAUGUUGGCUUAGAAGCAGCCAUCAUUUAAAGAAAGCGUAAUAGCUCACUGGUCGAGUCGGCCUGCGCGGAAGAUGUAACGGGGCUAAACCAUGCACCGAAGCUGCGGCAGCGACACUAAGUGUUGUUGGGUAGGGGAGCGUUCUGUAAGCCUGUGAAGGUGUACUGUGAGGUAUGCUGGAGGUAUCAGAAGUGCGAAUGCUGACAUAAGUAACGAUAAAGCGGGUGAAAAGCCCGCUCGCCGGAAGACCAAGGGUUCCUGUCCAACGUUAAUCGGGGCAGGGUGAGUCGACCCCUAAGGCGAGGCCGAAAGGCGUAGUCGAUGGGAAACAGGUUAAUAUUCCUGUACUUGGUGUUACUGCGAAGGGGGGACGGAGAAGGCUAUGUUGGCCGGGCGACGGUUGUCCCGGUUUAAGCGUGUAGGCUGGUUUUCCAGGCAAAUCCGGAAAAUCAAGGCUGAGGCGUGAUGACGAGGCACUACGGUGCUGAAGCAACAAAUGCCCUGCUUCCAGGAAAAGCCUCUAAGCAUCAGGUAACAUCAAAUCGUACCCCAAACCGACACAGGUGGUCAGGUAGAGAAUACCAAGGCGCUUGAGAGAACUCGGGUGAAGGAACUAGGCAAAAUGGUGCCGUAACUUCGGGAGAAGGCACGCUGAUAUGUAGGUGAAGCGACUUGCUCGUGGAGCUGAAAUCAGUCGAAGAUACCAGCUGGCUGCAACUGUUUAUUAAAAACACAGCACUGUGCAAACACGAAAGUGGAUGUAUACGGUGUGACGCCUGCCCGGUGCCGGAAGGUUAAUUGAUGGGGUUAGCGGUAACGCGAAGCUCUUGAUCGAAGCCCCGGUAAACGGCGGCCGUAACUAUAACGGUCCUAAGGUAGCGAAAUUCCUUGUCGGGUAAGUUCCGACCUGCACGAAUGGCGUAAUGAUGGCCAGGCUGUCUCCACCCGAGACUCAGUGAAAUUGAACUCGCUGUGAAGAUGCAGUGUACCCGCGGCAAGACGGAAAGACCCCGUGAACCUUUACUAUAGCUUGACACUGAACAUUGAGCCUUGAUGUGUAGGAUAGGUGGGAGGCUUUGAAGUGUGGACGCCAGUCUGCAUGGAGCCGACCUUGAAAUACCACCCUUUAAUGUUUGAUGUUCUAACGUUGGCCCCUGAUCGGGGUUGCGGACAGUGUCUGGUGGGUAGUUUGACUGGGGCGGUCUCCUCCUAAAGAGUAACGGAGGAGCACGAAGGUUGGCUAAUCCUGGUCGGACAUCAGGAGGUUAGUGCAAUGGCAUAAGCCAGCUUGACUGCGAGCGUGACGGCGCGAGCAGGUGCGAAAGCAGGUCAUAGUGAUCCGGUGGUUCUGAAUGGAAGGGCCAUCGCUCAACGGAUAAAAGGUACUCCGGGGAUAACAGGCUGAUACCGCCCAAGAGUUCAUAUCGACGGCGGUGUUUGGCACCUCGAUGUCGGCUCAUCACAUCCUGGGGCUGAAGUAGGUCCCAAGGGUAUGGCUGUUCGCCAUUUAAAGUGGUACGCGAGCUGGGUUUAGAACGUCGUGAGACAGUUCGGUCCCUAUCUGCCGUGGGCGCUGGAGAACUGAGGGGGGCUGCUCCUAGUACGAGAGGACCGGAGUGGACGCAUCACUGGUGUUCGGGUUGUCAUGCCAAUGGCACUGCCCGGUAGCUAAAUGCGGAAGAGAUAAGUGCUGAAAGCAUCUAAGCACGAAACUUGCCCCGAGAUGAGUUCUCCCUGACUCCUUGAGAGUCCUGAAGGAACGUUGAAGACGACGACGUUGAUAGGCCGGGUGUGUAAGCGCAGCGAUGCGUUGAGCUAACCGGUACUAAUGAACCGUGAGGCUUAACCUU
rnacentral:rRNA from 1 species